rfam:Amycolatopsis halophila YIM 93223 genomic scaffold AmyhaDRAFT_Scaffold1.1, whole genome shotgun sequence.
GGGGGUGAACGGUUUCGACUCUGGACGUUGAUUCAGGGGAAGCGUGCCGGUGCAGGCGAGAGACCACCGUUAAGCGUCGUCGCACUUUAUAAGCGCCAAGACGAAUAGUCAGCGCGACUUCGCCCUCGCUGCCUAAGCGAGCGCGAGUCUGUCGGUCUGGGAGCGCCUCCGGCCCAGUAACCGGCAUCAGCUAGGAGGACUUACCGCCGAGGUCGGCCGCGGACCUCGGCGGGACAUCGAACAGCGGCUGGGCCCGUCACAUCGGCUUGUUCGCGUGACCGGUGGGGCCAAGUAGAGACACAGCGAACUGCGCACGGAGAAGCCCUGUUGAGGCGACAGAGGACCCGGGUUCGAUUCCCGGCACCUCCACGC